rnacentral:rRNA from 1 species
AGUGAACGCUGGCGGUAGGCCUAACACAUGCAAGUCGAACGGCAGCACAGUAAGAGCUUGCUCUUACGGGUGGCGAGUGGCGGACGGGUGGGGAAUACAUCGGAAUCUACUUUUUCGUGGGGGAUAACGUAGGGAAACUUACGCUAAUACCGCAUACGACCUACGGGUGAAAGCAGGGGAUCUUCGGACCUUGCGCGAUUGAAUGAGCCGAUGUCGGAUUAGCUAGUUGGCGGGGUAAAGGCCCACCAAGGCGACGAUCCGUAGCUGGUCUGAGAGGAUGAUCAGCCACACGGGAACUGAGACACGGUCCAGACUCCUACGGGAGGCAGCAGUGGGGAAGAUUGGACAAUGGGCGCAAGCCUGAUCCAGCCAUACAGCGUGGGUGAAGAAGGCCUUCGGGUUGUAAAGCCCUUUUGUUGGAAAGAAAAGCAGCAGGUUAAUACCCCGCUGUUCUGACGGUACCCAAAGAAUAAGCACCGGCUAACUUCGUG